GACGAACGCUGGCGGCGUGCUUAACACAUGCAAGUCGAACGGAAAGGCCCUGCGUUUGUGGGGUGCUCGAGUGGCGAACGGGUGAGUAACACGUGAGUAACCUGCCCUUGACUUUGGGAUAACUUCAGGAAACUGGGGCUAAUACCGGAUAGGAGCUCCUGCUGCAUGGUGGGGGUUGGAAAGUUUCGGCGGUUGGGGAUGGACUCGCGGCUUAUCAGCUUGUUGGUGGGGUAGUGGCUUACCAAGGCUUUGACGGGUAGCCGGCCUGGGAGGGUGACCGGCGACAUGGGGACUGAGAUACGGCCCAGACUCCUACGGGAGGCAGCAGGGGGGAAUAUUGCACAGUGGGCGGGAGCCUGAUGCAGCAACGCCGCGUGCGGGAUGACGGCCUUCGGGUUGUAAACCGCUUUCGCCUGUGACGAAGCGUGAGUGACGGUAAUGGAUAAAGAAGCACCGGCUAACUACGUG
rnacentral:rRNA from 1 species